CUGCUGCCUCCCGUAGGAGUCUGGUCCGUGUCUCAGUACCAGUGUGGGGGACCGUUCCUCUCAGAACCCCUACCGCAUCGUCGCCUUGGUGGGCCGUUACCCCGCCAACUAGCUAAUGCGCCGCAUGCCCAUCCGUCUCCGAUAUUCUUUCAAAACCAGACGAUGCCGUCCAGCUUCAUACGGGGUAUUAGACGCCGUUUCCGACGAUUAUCCCCCUGAGACGGGCAGGUUGCAUACGUGUUACUCACCCGUGCGCCGGUCGCCGG
rnacentral:rRNA from 1 species